rnacentral:rRNA from 1 species
CCCCUAGAUGUUCUGGGCCGCACGCGCGCUACACUGAACAGUUCAACAAGUCUUAACCUUGGCCGAUAGGUCUGGGUAAUCUUUGAACGCUGUUCGUGAUUGGGAUAGACCUUUGCAAUUAUGGGUCUUCAACGAGGAAUUCCUAGUAAACGCAAGUCGUCAGCUUGCAUUGAUUACGUCCCUGCCCUUUGUACACACCGCCCGUCGCACCUACCGAUUGAAUGGUCCGGUGAAAUCUCGGGACGGCGGCUUGGUCGCUUGCGUCCGACUGCUGAAACUUGAUUAAACCAUAUCAUUUAGAGGAAGGUGAANUCGUAACA